rnacentral:rRNA from 1 species
GAUGAACGCUAGCGGCAGGCCUAAUACAUGCAAGUCGAACGGGAUCUGAGGGUAGCUUGCUACCCGAUUUGAGAGUGGCGCACGGGUGCGUAACGCGUGAGCAACCUACUCAUAUCAGGGGGAUAGCCCGGAGAAAUUCGGAUUAACACCGCAUAAGAAUGUAUUACCACAUGUUAAAGCAUUUAAAUAUUUAUAGGAAAUGGGUUGGAGCGCGUGAAAUUAGCUAGUUGGUGAGGUAACGGCUCACCAAGGCGACGAUGUCUAGGGGCUCUGAGAGGAGAAUCCCCCACACUGGUACUGAGACACGGACCAGACUCCUACGGGAGGCAGCAGUAAGGAAUAUUGGUCAAUGGGCGAAAGCCUGAACCAGCCAUGCCGAGUGCAGGAUGACUGCCCUAUGGGUUGUAAACUGCUUUUGUCGAGGAAUAAACCUAUCUACGUGUAACUAGUUAAACGUACUCGAAGAAUAAGGAUCGGCUAACUCCGUGCCAGCAGCCGCCGUAA